rnacentral:rRNA from 1 species
AGCGAACGCUGGCGGCAGGCUUAACACAUGCAAGUCGAACGCAUCACUUCGGUGUUUAGUGGCAGACGGGUGAGUAACACGUUGGAACGUACCCUUCGAUCUUGGAUAACUUCGGGAAACUUGAGCUAAUACCGGAUACGCCCUUUUGGGGAAAGGUUUACUGUCGAAGGAUCGGCGCGCGUCUGAUUAUCUAGUUGUUUGGGUAACGGCCUACCAAUGCGACGAUAAGUAUCUGGUCUGAGAGGAUGAUCAGCCACACUGGGACUGAGACACGGCCGAGAAUCGUACGGGAGGGAGCAGUGGGGAAUAUAGGAAAAUGGGGGCAAGGAUGAAAAAGCCAUGACGGGUGAGUGAUGAAGGCAUUAGGGUUGUAAAGCUCUUUUGUCCGGGAAGAUAAUGACGGUACCGGAAGAAUAAGCCCCGGCUAACUUCGUG